UACGGGGGGGGCAAGCGUUGUUCGGAAUUACUGGGCGUAAAGGGCUCGUAGGCGGCCAACUAAGUCAGACGUGAAAUCCCCAGGCUCAACCUAGGAAUUGCGUCUGAUACUGGAUGGCUUGAAUCCGGGAGAGGGAUGCAGAAUUCCAGGUGUAGCGGUGAAAUGCGUAGAUAUCGAGAGGAACACCUGCGGCGAAGGCGGGUUGCUGGGCUGACACUGACGCUGAAGUGCGAAAGCUAGGGGAGCGAACGGG
rnacentral:rRNA from 1 species